rnacentral:rRNA from 1 species
CACGUAGGGCGCAAGCGUUGUCCGGAAUUAUUGGGCGUAAAGAGCUCGUAGGCGGUCUGUUACGUCUGCUGUGAAAACCCUGGGCUUAACCCUGGGCUUGCAGUGGAUACGGGCAGACUAGAGGCAGGUAGGGGAGAAUGGAAUUCCCGGUGUAGCGGUGAAAUGCGCAGAUAUCGGGAGGAACACCGGUGGCGAAGGCGGUUCUCUGGGAAUGUCCUGACGCUGAGGAGCGAAAGCGUGGGGAGCGAACAGG